CAGCAGCCACGGGAAUACAGAGGGUGCAAGCGUUAAUCGGAAUUACUGGGCGUAAAGCGCGCGUAGGUGGUUCGCCAAGUUGGAUGUGAAAUCCCCGGGCUCAACCUGGGAACUGCAUCCAAAACUGGCGAGCUAGGGUAUGGUAGAGGGUGGUGGAAUUUCCUGUGUAGCGGUGAAAUGCGUAGAUAUAGGAAGGAACAUCAGUGGCGAAGGCGACCACCUGGACUGAUACUGACACUGAGGUGCGAAAGCGUGGGGAGCAAACAGGAUUAGAUACCCCGGUAGUCCCUGUCUCUUAUAC
rnacentral:rRNA from 1 species